CUUGUGUUCUUUUUUUGUUGCACUCCAUUGAAUUCUUGUGCAGUGAGAUCCAAUAAGUUGAAUAAUUGACAACAGGGGUGGUUCUAGUAAUGUCAUUGGUAAAAACAUGAAUAUAUGUUCUUGGAAUGUGAAGGCUCUAAAUAACCCUGUUAAAAGGGCCAAGGUGUUCGCUCAUCUCCACAGUCUGCACACGGAUAUAAUAUUUCUACAAGAGACACAUAUUGAGCAGACAGCAGUUUUGAAACUGAGAUGUGGAUGGGUAAGGCAAACGUAUCAAUCAACAUGCUCUGCGAAAGCACGCGGUGUGGCAAUAUUAAUCGGAAGGAAUGUUCCCUUCAAUCAUAUAUCGACCCAAACAGACCCAAAUGGUCGCUUUGUAAUCGUGACAGGCACCAUUUUGACGUGUGUCAUGUGACACUAUUGAAUAUCUAUGCUCCCAAUUUCGAUAACCCUGGGUUUUUUCGGAGCAUUUUCAAACGUAUUCCUGACAUAUCCAAAACAACUUUGAUUUCAGGGGCUGAUUUCAAUUGUGUCUUGGAUACAACACUGGACAGGUCCUCCACACAUUCAAAAAGCCCACUUGACUCCACAAUCGUUUUAAAUCAUUUAAAGAAGUCCAUGAAUCUGAUUGAUAUCUGGAGGAUUCAACAUCCCACUCAGAGAGAUGAUUCUUUUUUUUCCAAAACCUUCACACGGAUCGAUUAUUUUUUUGAUUGACUCUAAAUUAGCAUCUGCUGUCUCCUCAUCGAAAUAUUAUAACAUACUCAUUUCAGAUCAUAGCCCAGUUAUGAUAAGCGUCGAUUUUGGUUUGAAGAAAGCACAAUACAAUUGGCGUUUGAACCCUAAUCUACUCAAGAAUGAAGAGUUUUUAGACAUCUGUGCAAAGCAGAUCAAUGAUUCUAUUAAGCUGAACGACAAGGGGGAUGUUUCUGAUUCAACAUUGUGGGAAGCUUUUCAAGUGGUUAUUGGAGGGACUGUGAUAUCUGAUGAAGCCAUGAAAACAAAGCAAAGAAGAGCCAGGUUAGUUGAAAUUGAUCAAGAAAUGACAAAAGCUGAGAUACAAUAUAGAGAAAAUCCAUCUACAGCAACACUCAAAACUAUUGUCAAGCUCAGGCAUGAACAUACAACCCAGGCUCACAAAAAAACGUACAAUGACGACGUUUGUCCACUUAGAGAAAACGUAGUGGUUAGACGGAUUUCCCUUAAAAAACGUAUCCCAGGUACAUUUAAUUUCUCAAUGGCUUAGUGAAGGGCGUUCCUUUGGACACGUGACUGACAGCUUUCUCCCCUGUCUGAACAUAAAACAUGGCCGACAUCCGUUCUAUUUUUGCUCUAAAUUGUGAGAUUUUAAAACAAUUAAAUGUUUUUGUUGAGUUUUGAUCACAUUUCUAGUGACAAAUGUACACUUUAUUUUCAUAUUUUCUGCUCGAUGUAUGUUUAUGGCGCUUCGUUUUAUCGUUUUGACCCAGGUUCUUUAGUGGUGCUCACUGAAAUCGUAGUAUUGUGACGUUUGCCCUGCCGCCCAUAAAUCCACUCCAAAUUGUGGGUUUUUUUAAAUGACUUUUUAUCACAUUUCUAGCGACAAAUAUAUCCCACAUUGUAAUAUUAUGUGCUUGUUUUAUGUAAAUAACGCUUAUUUUCUUUCGUUUGGACCGAGAUAGUUUUGUGAUUCCCUGUUAAAUCGUAGUAUUGUAACGUUUACCCUGCUGGCCAUAAAUACGCUCCAAAUUGCGGAUUUUUUAAAUAACUUUAUUGGCUUUUGAUCACAUUUCUAGCGACAAAUAUAUCCUACAUUAUAAUAUUAUGUGCUUGUUUUAUGUAAAUAAAGCUUAUUUUCUUUCGUUUGGGCCGAGAUUGAUUUGUGAUUCCUAAUAAAACGUAGUAUUCUGACGUUUGGAUUGCCGCCCAUAAAUCCGCUCCAAAUUGUGGGUUUUUUAAAUAACUUUAUUGGCUUUUUAUCACAUUUCUAGCGACAAAUAUAUCCUACAUUAUAAUAUUAUGUGCUUGUUUUAUGCAAAUAACGCUUAUUUUCUUUCGUUUGGACCGAAACAUGGUGGACAUCCGUUCUAUUUCACUCUAAAUUGUGAGAUUUUAAAACAAAAGCUUUUGUUGACUUUUGAUCGCAUUUCUAGCGACAAAUAUAUUCUAUUUUGGGUCGGUUAUCUGCUCGCACUGAAAAACGUGCAAUAACUACGCUUGUCCACUUGGCAUACCGUAAUCCUUUGAAUACUUUGCCUCAAAAAUCGUUUCUCUCGUACACGUCAUUUCUCAAUGGAUUUGUGAAUGGCGUGCCUCUGGUCACGUGACUGAUAGAGCACAAAGCAUGGCGGACACCCGUUCUAGUUUUGCUUUAAAUUGUGAGAUUUCAAAACAAUUAAAAGCUUUUGUUGCGUUUUGAUCACAUUUCUAGCGACAAAUGUACGCCUGACUUUCAUUUUUUCCUCUCGUUUCAUGAAUAUGACGCUUCGUUUUUUUCGUUUUGACCCAGAUUCUCUCGUCGGUCUCAAUUCAAUGGUAUUAUUGAUAUUUGAUUUGUUGAGUUGUAAUCACAUGUAAUGUACCUUUAAUUUUUAUUAUGUCAUGAAAAUGAUAUAAUAUUUACUAUCCGACUGGAGAAGGAACUGACGUCACGGACCGAAUACGUUAUUUAUUUAUCAUUUGUAUCGAAUACAUUUCUACGCCAGAUAGUAUUAUCGGAUAUUUAAAAUCGUGUCAAGUGCAUAUAAAGUCUUUUGGCAAGAAAGGAAGUUCCGUCAUUUAUUCGUUUUGCUGACUCAUGCUUCGUUCUCCGUCACUGACGUCAGCUGAAACGCAGGCGGACCAUUCCAAACCUCCCAAGCCGUAGUUUCUAGUUUUCAUUCUGUUUAAAUAUGUACACGUGAUGUGGACGCCGACGUUUCUUCGGAGACGUGAAUUUAUGCUUUGGAUGAAUAAUUCAAUUAUACAAACACGUCGGACUUUGACGUCAUCAGUGGUCGACAAGAACAAAAACAUGGCGGAAAGUCGUUCGGCUUGACUUCGGUAGAAACUCCUCUUCUUUUUUGUUCAUCAUCCUUUCGUCUAUGUAGAGUCUGUCAGUGAUUUUGUAGAAUUGCAAUACUGCGUUCGCUGUUGGUACUGUAGAAGCUUUUUUUGUCCCCCGGGAGUUGCCAUAGUUGGCAGGGGGGUGUUAUGUUGGACUGCGCGGGUUUUUGGGUCGUGUCAAACGGAGACUGAAGGCACGAGUGAAGUUGUUUUCUUGCUGCACCAACGAACUUGGACCUUAUUGACUGCUGUCCCCGCGGAUUUACCAAAUAUAACCCUCGGCUACAAUACUGCGCUGACCAAAGACACGAAGCUGAAUGAUUUUGACGGGAGUUUAUUCUAUUUCUUAAUAUUUGAAUUUAUUUUGUUUGUUUUUUGAUAACCUUUCUCCAUGUCGAUGGUUGUUAAUAUGGGGGUAACUUAUCCGGUUUCCAUUUCUUUUCUUUUCUUCUUGCUGAUUUGCAUAGUCACGUCCACUGUGUUUAAAAUCAAGUGGCCACUGAUAAAUUGGUAUUCAGGCUGAACUCACUCAACUGAGGAGCAUCAUGGAUGACGAUGAUGCCUUAUUUCUUGCUGAUUUGCUGUUGGAGGAAUCGAAGAAUACUCAACCUCAAGAAUCCUCAGAAGUGUCUGGACCGGACAAAUUUUCAUUUGUUUGGGUUGAGGAGGACGAGGAAGGGAAUCCUAUCCCAAAGAGGAGGAGAACAGGGAAGAAGCGGGCAAAGAGUUCAUCCUCAGGUGAGAGACAAUGGUCAAUUGUCAAUUGGGUCAAUGAGUCCUCACAUAUUGCACCCACCCAGUGAAUACAUCCUACUGCGUGGAUCCUCUACUACACUUGGACGGUGACUUCUGGGAGCAUGCACUCGUUGCCCUGUGCGCCAUCUACAAGUGGACAUCAGCACGUGACUGAGACCGUUCCAGAUAUAGGUCGUUUUUAGCAGCAGUUUAUUUACCCUCUUCUUUCCAUGUUUGUCUUAUUGCUGCUACAUUUGGUCACCUCACCCUGUUUUCUAGGAUCCCUCAUUCAAGAGGUGCAGGACCUUUUGGGACCUGCCAUAGACCCAGCACCUUCACACUGGAAAGACAGGAAAGCUUCAACUCUCUCUCAAAGUGGACUGUGUUAAGGCCGUAUAUGGUUCAUCAGAUGUUACAGUCUGAGAAGCCUAUAGAGGGAACUUGUCACCACUGCAGAUCCAAGACUGCUGUUGUGAAAUGUCAGGAUUGUUUGCCUAGACCACUUCACUGUGCAGCCUGUGAUGUUUCCAUCCACAAUUCCAUGGUUUUACAUCAUAGAUCAUCCAUGAUAGAGGGAUUCUACAGGCCACUGCCACCAACCACUCGCAUCAGGGAAGAGAAGGGAGGAAAAUUCUCCUUCCAUGGAAGAGGUCGAUACAAUGUGUCCCUCCCAACUGUCAGCUGCUCCUGUGGGAAAGCUUUGGAUGUCGGUAUUAGUGAGCUGAUUGAAAGUGGCUACUGGCCAGCUACAGUCCAUUUUGAGACGCUGUACACAGUGGAUUUGUUGGCGACAUACGAAGAUCUCAAGAUUACUGCACCAGGAAUGUCAGGACAAGCUUUCGUUGGUAUGCUUGAGCAGCGCACAAAACUCUUUGGUCGGUGUGGGAAAAUAUGUGGCGACGCCAUGCAAAAAUCAUUCCUGGAAUGGUCGUACGCAAAAUUUGAAGUUGAGAGGCUGUCUGAAGUCGAUGAGCUUCGGUGCCCAGCCUGCACACCCUCAAUGUUAGCUGUCUCAGUGGAUGGGAACCGCAAGCUUUAUCGCUUUAAGAGCCAUUCAGGACCAAACGGCUUUUUCGAAGGUGUCUUUUUGGCCAACGACACAGAGUUUCGUCAACCACAUCAGGGCAUCAACAGGACAUAAUCCUGGGAAAGGCAGGUGUGGUGGAAGCGAAUGGGUGGCUGCACGAGAGUCCUGAGGAGCUCAAGAAAUUGGCUGGAGAGUUGUCUAUUCAGGGAGACACUGUUCAGCAAGGGGUGUCUGAUGUUCAACAGUGGACUGCAGAAGGAGCAUGCAGUCAAAAUGAACUUGAAAAAACCAUUGAAGGACUGUAUCUCAGCAUGAAGCAGCGGAAAUAUCAGCUGUGUCGUCAGGCUGAUGGCAACAAGAGAAGAUUUCAGUGGAAAAGAGAUCCUUAGAAGAUGCCGUCACAAAAUACAAUGCUGUUGUGCCGGAAACUGGCAAACUCCCUUCUCCCAACGAGCUCCUGGCUGAGGAAAACUAUUCCUGGCCUUGGGAAUGUCAUGGUGAUAUGUUAAAGAAAAAAAAGGUCUUCGACAAGGUAAUGCUGCUGAACCGCCUGAAGGAAGAGGAGGUCAUUGUUGUCCGUGAAGUCAAGCAGCACUGGGAGUACAUGAGGAAUAUGGCUGGAAAUAUUGAAGAGAUUUCCUCCCAGCUUUCAGAAGGGAUCACUCAGCAAAGCGGCACAGAAGCAUUGACUGGGAGAGGACGUGAGGGGCUGCUCUGUCUGCUGAAGAGAAGACUGUCAGCAAUUCAAGCUCAGCAGGGUGCAGCUCGCUCAACGUACCAACAUGUUUUUGGAUCGCAAGCCUUGUCUCUCGAUGAUUCCUCCACUGGUGAUGAAGAACCCCAUGAUAGCAGCUCCUCCACCGAAGAUGAAGAACACUAGCAUUGUAGCUCCUCUUCUGAACUUUGACCUCCCUCAUUAGAAAAUGAGGAAAACUGUAGUAAUUACCUGGCCUGCAGUAUGAAUGUGAAAUGUUAAAAUAAACUGUCCUGCAAUUGACUCUUUUUCUGAGUUAUGUACUAUUACUAUUUUGAAGUAGAG